UCCAGACUCCUACGGGAGGCAGCAGUGAGGAAUAUUGGUCAAUGGGCGCAAGCCUGAACCAGCCAAGUCGCGUGAGGGAAGACGGCCCUACGGGUUGUAAACCUCUUUUGCCGGGGAGCAAGCCUGAGCACGUGUGCCCAGGCGGAGAGUACCCGGAGAAAAAGCAUCGGCUAACUCCGUGCCAGCAGCCGCGGUAAUACGGAGGAUGCGAGCGUUAUCCGGAUUUAUUGGGUUUAAAGGGUGCGCAGGCGGGCUGUUAAGCCGGCGGUAAAAAUUCAGGGCUCAACCCUGUCGAGCCGUCGGAACUGGCAGUCUUGAGAUGUCGAGAGGUAUGCGGAAUGCGCAGUGUAGCGGUGAAAUGCUUAGAUAUUGCGCAGAACUCCGAUUGCGAAGGCAGCAUACCGGCGGCGAUCUGACGCUGAGGCACGAAAGCGUGGGUAUCGAACAGGAUUAGAUACCCGCGUAC
rnacentral:rRNA from 1 species